rnacentral:tRNA from 1 species
GCCUUUAGCUCAGUGGUUAGAGCGUUUGUCUCCCAUGCCGGUGUGUGUGUGGCAAGGUGGUGGGUUCAAGGCCCAUGAGUGGCG